GAAACCUGGUUGAUCCUGCCAGUAGUCAUAUGCUUGUCUCAAAGAUUAAGCCAUGCAUGUCUAAGUGUAAAUACGUCUACACUGUGAAACUGCGAAUGGCUCAUUAAAUCAGUUAUCGUUUAUUUGAUGAUCUCUUGUUACAUGGAUAACCGUAGUAAUUCUAGAGCUAAUACAUGCGUCAAGCCCCGACUCAC
rnacentral:rRNA from 1 species